GUUUUAUUCUAGUUAUUGACUUGUGAGACAGCAGAACAAAGAGGAGCCAUGGCUUUUUGUCCAAUUCUUAGCACUCUGGUUACAGGUUAAGGGCAUAUAUAUUUCAGACUGUGUCUCUCCAGAAUUCUUGUGUUGAAAUUCUUACUUCUCCUCAAUGUGAUGGAUUAAGGAGGUACAGCCUUUGGGUGGGGAUUAGAUUAUGAGAACUUUUUAAAAAACUCUGUUCUCCACCAUCUGAGGAUUCAAUAAGACAGCCACCAGCAAAUCAGGAAGUAGGUCCUCACUAGAUACCAGGCCUGCUGACACCUUGAUCUUGGACUUCCCAACUUUCGGAACUAUGAGAAAGAAAAGUUUGCUGUUUAAGCCUUCUGGUUUUUUAAUUUACUGUAUCAGCCUGAACUAAGAUAAGGUGAGUGUACUGAGAAAACAAUAUUGGCCUAAGCACCAGACUCUUUACUUCUCAAAUUUAGUGUAAUAAACUAAUCUGGGAAGUUUUGAUUAGUAUGCAGAUUUCCAAGCUUCACUCCCAGAAAUAUUUAUUCAGUAGAUGUGGAGUGAUGCCCAGAUUAUUGCAGUAUUUAAUAACAAACAGAUUAUCCUGACAUAAGCAGAUCUGGAAUAAGACUUUGAGAAACACUGAAAAUCCAAGGCCACUGACAAUGUGUCAUGUCUGCUGAAGUCAGGAUUCACAUUUCUAGGUCCAAACAAAAUGAUGAGGGGUGAGCCUGAGUAAAGGGAUGCUGCUACACAACUAUAUAAAAAGAGAAGAAACACCAAAAAACGCAGUAAUUUUAGGACAUAACAUUCAGCCUGUUCCCUCAUUAAUGUAUAAUUCUGCUAUUGUAGGCAUGUCUUAAUUUCAGCAGAUAUUUUUAAAAAGUGGCUUUCAAGUGUGAUGCUUUAUUUGAAUAGAUAGUGGAGGGAGAAGGCAGUUGACAAAUAAAUAACGCUGCACUAAAAAGAUCAGUCAAUU
rnacentral:lncRNA from 1 species